GAAUAAUUAGAGCACUGCUGUUAGUGAGUCUAUGCCAGCCACAAUCACUUAGAGACACUUUCCACUGGAAUAAUUAAUAUGGGCUAUAAUUCAUGGUCGUUAAUUUGGUCCUAAAUGCCAAAUCUGAACUUUUUAAACGUCCAUAAUUAUUUUUAUUUUUGGUGACCCAAUUUCCGUGACUUUGUGGUAUCCUGAUGCUCUUUCAGUUGGUACAAUUUUGACGUAUUUUACAAAUACCAUGAUUAAACCAAAGAUGGUACUAGUCACGUGAUGUUAGCCUAUAAUUGCCGAGCGCCUUAUCUCAGAAAACCUUUGUAUGUAUGUAUGUAUGUCACGCUCAGGAAUGUCACGCUUCAGGAAUGCAUAAUUGGGUGUGGCUACAUUCGGUUAAUCUUUACUACCUCCAAACUGAUCUACUAUUGCCAUAAUUAUGCGGAGAAUAAAAGCUACGUACUAUAUAUACUAUAUAGCUAGCUGGAAGAGCUUCUGUGGAAAUCGAAGAGCUAGCUAGCUUAGGCUAGGCUGUAGCUAUAGCUGUAUAAGAGUCUCACUUGAACAAAGCCAACAACGACACUACUAACUUACUCUUGAAAGCAGAGUUCUUGAGAGACUGAUUCUAGCCAAGAAUGUAUAAGUAGCUAUUUCAUAAUGAAAGCACCUCGGUGGGUGUCAAAUUAAGCUACAUAACAUAAAGCUGUUAUAUACACACAUUAUACAAUGAUGAAUAUUAAUUUUGCUGCAUGCAGAAUCCAUAUCACAGGGAAACUCAAAGAGUGGGUUAUGAUCGACCAUGAUUGUUGUUUAAACGAUCGAUGCCAAAAGUCCAAGUUUAAAAUUGAUGGCUGCAUCAGCAGAGCCUUGCAGCUACCAAUAGCUAGCGUUAUAGUGUAGAGGGCUACUAAGUAUAUAGAGUAGCAACACUCGGUGGACAAGUUGUGGUACGUAGUUUACUCUUCUGUAAAGGCUGCAUGCAAUGGCAUUCUUCAUUUUUUCAAAUUAAAAUCCAAGAAAACUAGAAGCCUAUAGAAACUCUUAUACUCACACUUUAUUGAUCCUUGAGCAGCUGUAGCAGUCUACACAGUACAGAGAGACAGUCACAUGCACACACACAUAAACACAUGCACACCAAGGAAUAAUUAUAUCCAAAUCAUACCUAUCGCAUGCAAGUCCAGUCUACUCUCCUUCUUUCUCCUAAAUUGUACUUAAAUACAACUCUGCGCGAGGCUAAUCAUGCGUGUGCGUAUAAUAUGUUUCCUACGUGUUACAUUAUUAUUUAACCUCUGAACUCGUGUGAACUAAACACUUUAUGUCUUGUCUCUUCAGAACACUGCUGGUGACGACCAUAGUGACAAGCAGCUGGAUCACACCGACUACAGGAGAGUCAACUGUGACCUGUUUGUGGAGAAGAGCAUCAGUUUAAGAGAGGCCUUGUGUGGCUUCACUUGCACUCUGUACCCCCUGGACGAGAGGAGCGUGCGUGUGUCCAGGUCACCAGGAGCAGUGCUGUCACCAGGUGAGUAGGUGGCUGGUAGGAGGAGGAUUGUGUAUAGGGCUGCCUUUGAGAGGAGUGUACAUACAAGCUAUUAUAGUGUGUCCCAGCCUUACAAGCUGAGGGGACAUGUGUUAGGGUUAGGUACCUUAGAACUUUUGAUCUGGCAGCUUUAACAACUCUUGAUAUUCCACUGUUAAUAUUAUAUAUACCGUAUAUAGCCCAAAGUGUUAAUAUUUGGGUUAGCAGUUUUCGCUGUUUUUGGUGGGUUAGCAAUUCUACACGAAAAUUAGGUCCACGAAAUGCUUAGCUAACGGAAGACAUAACGUCAUUUGACCAAAUAUAGCAUUUAUCCAACGAUACAUAUAGUCUUGUGAUACGAACAGUGGUAGUGCUGUGUUGUAUAUACCUAAGAAUACUAUUGAGUAAAAAUAAGUACCCACCACUAAUCAAGUGGUACAAUGUGUGUGUACAUGUACAGUACUGUGUGUGUGUGUGUGUGUGUGUGUGUGUGCGUGCGUGCGUGCGUGUACAUGUACAGUACUGUGUGUGUGUGUGUGUGUGUGUGUGUGUGUGUGUGUGUGUGUGUGUGUGUGUGUGUGUGUGUGUGUGUGUGUGUGUGUGUGUGGGUGUGUGUGUGUGUGUGUGUGUGUGUGUGUGUGUGUGUGUGUGUGUUUCCAGGGUCUGGAGGGUGAGGGGAUGCCAGUGUUUAGGAGGCCUCAUGUCGGGGAAAACCUCUAUGUUCAGUUCACCAUCCAAUUCCCUGACUCUGGUUUCCUGGAGGAGAGUCAACUAAAGGUGUUGGAGUGUCUCCCCACCAGCACUGGACCCAGAGGCAGAGGAAGUGAAUAUGAUAGAGAGUGAGGGGACGAGGGGAGUGGGCGGGGCACAAGGGGUGAAGCCAUAUACGAUGAAGAUGAGGAGGAUGAAGGAGUGGGUGGGGCACAGAGGGUGGGCUGCUCUCAACAGUGACACUCUUAGGAACUCUAUAUAUUCACCACUUUGAUUGUAUUUAUGGACUGGUUUUGUGGUAACUGCUAUUGUUCUAAUUAUGUGAAUAACGUUUGCCCAUACCACUCA